rnacentral:sRNA from 12 species
CUGUGAGCGAUAAGACCGCUACGGGUUGUUCCGGGUGCUCCUCUCCGUAUGGUGAGUAUGAACCCGGACACCACAAACUCGUAGGGCGCGUUCACUG